CUGUAUUUCCUUGAAAAUUUAUGUUCUUUAGUAUGUGCAAAAGGAUGAUAAACUUCCAGAAACUUCACCUAUUUGGAAAAGGUAGCAACUUCUUUCAAACCAUGAAGGAGAUGCUCAGCAGAAUGCUGUAUAGCCUGGAUUAACAGUUAAUGUGUUUGUGUUGGUAAGAGCUUGGGAAAACAAGUGACUCCACUGAUGCUGACAGAAGUCUAAUUCCCUGAUCAGAGAUGUAAGUGAUGAGAAGCAUGUUCUCUGCAUGCAACUGACAAACAAGUGUGACCACACUCCAUACUGGAUAUUGUGUUUAUGCUCCUCCAGUGCAGUAAUGACAGAGAAACCAUAAGUAAUCAAGACACACUGUGCAUUCCAGGAGAAACUGCCACUUGCUCAUGUCUGGCUUCAUCCUGUAAAGCGGAAAACAGCAGCGAUUGUGUGACUCUAUUCAAGUGCUAUGUGUUGUUCUGCAUCUUUCUUCUCUGCACCCCAAACUAAAAACUUUCAAAUAAAAAUAACUGAAAAACAGAAUAUUGUAUUCCU
rnacentral:lncRNA from 1 species